AUGACUCUCAUCACCAUCCUCAUCUGGACGCUGACCUGCUGCUGUUUUACAGGAUGCAGCAGUCAGGUGACUGUGACUCAACCUCCAGUAGAGACAUCUUCUCCUGGAAACACUGUCACUCUGACCUGUAGGACCAGCCAAGCUGUUGUCAGAUUUUAUGGUGGUGUGGAGGGUCCGGGCAUGUAUUGGUAUCAACAGAAAUCUGGACAGGCUCCAAAGCUCCUAAUAAAAUUAGCAAAAACGCUUGAGUCAGGAACACCAUCUCGAUUUAGUGGCAGUGGAAGCAGCUCUGACUUCUCUAUGACCAUCAGUGGAGUUCAGGCUGAAGAUGCAGCAGUUUACUACUGUCAGAGUUACCACAGCGGUAACGUGUUCACACAGUGA